rnacentral:misc_RNA from 1 species
UAAAAAAAAAAAAAAAAAGAAUGUUCACUAACAUUAUAAUGCUGCAAUACAAUGAUACGACUGGUUAUGGGAAAAGGUUGGGACAAAGAAACAAGAAAAGGAGGGAAAAAUGGAAAAAUGUGACACAGCCUCCUAGGGCAGAGAAAAAUGUUCUAAAUCCAUAAUACAGAAAUGCCUGAAGAAACAACAGCUUGAAUCCUGAGCAUCCUUGAGGAAAUAUAGAAGAUCCAGAUUUUAAAUACAGUUUAGGAUCUAGUAUGCCAAUACUUUCUUACUUCCAUUCAAACGGUCCAGUGCAUAAUCUUGUUUUAUGCAUCACAUGCUUGAAAAUGCCUUUUAAAACUUGCUUGUAGAUGCUCGAUAAUAUCAUCACAUUUAAUAGAGUUUGUAAUCUUUCUUUGACUCACAAAUAUAGUCCAAUUAUUGUCAUUGGCAUCUAAUAAGGUCCCUAAAACAGAAAUUGCACAGCAUUAACACCACACAACAAAAGCCCUAAACAUAAUGGUAACCUGGUCGCUCCAACGCACGGAUUUUCCUUGCUUUCCAUAUGCU